GUUGGUCGAGUGGUUAAGACAUCGCACUUUCACUGCGGUAGCACGGGUUCAAAUCUCGCACG
rnacentral:tRNA from 1 species